rnacentral:rRNA from 1 species
GACGAACGCUGGCGGCGUGCUUAACACAUGCAAGUCGAACGGAAAGGCCCUGCUUUUGUGGGGUGCUCGAGUGGCGAACGGGUGAGUAACACGUGAGUAACCUGCCCUUGACUUUGGGAUAACUUCAGGAAACUGGGGCUAAUACCGGAUAGGAGCUCCUGCUGCAUGGUGGGGGUUGGAAAGUUUCGGCGGUUGGGGAUGGACUCGCGGCUUAUCAGCUUGUUGGUGGGGUAGUGGCUUACCAAGGCUUUGACGGGUAGCCGGCCUGAGAGGGUGACCGGCCACAUUGGGACUGAGAUACGGCCCAGACUCCUACGGGAGGCAGCAGUGGGGAAUAUUGCACAAUGGGCGGAAGCCUGAUGCAGCAACGCCGCGUGCGGGAUGACGGCCUUCGGGUUGUAAACCGCUUUCGCCUGUGACGAAGCGUGAGUGACGGUAAUGGGUAAAGAAGCACCGGCUAACUACGUGCCAGCAGCCGCGGUGAUACGUAGGGUGCGAGCGUUGUCCGGAUUUAUUGGGCGUAAAGGGCUCGUAGGUGGUUGAUCGCGUCGGAAGUGUAAUCUUGGGGCUUAACCCUGAGCGUGCUUUCGAUACGGGUUGACUUGAGGAAGGUAGGGGAGAAUGGAAUUCCUGGUGGAGCGGUGGAAUGCGCAGAUAUCAGGAGGAACACCAGUGGCGAAGGCGGUUCUCUGGGCCUUUCCUGACGCUGAGGAGCGAAAGCGUGGGGAGCGAACAGGCUUAGAUACCCUGGUAGUCCACGCUGUAAACGGUGGGUACUAGGUGUGGGGUCCAUUCCACGGGUUCCGUGCCGUAGCUAACGCUUUAAGUACCCCGCCUGGGGAGUACGGCCGCAAGGCUAAAACUCAAAGGAAUUGACGGGGCCCCGCACAAGCGGCGGAGCAUGCGGAUUAAUUCGAUGCAACGCGUAGAACCUUACCUGGGUUUGACAUGGAUCGGGAGUGCUCAGAGAUGGGUGUGCCUCUUUUGGGGUCGGUUCACAGGUGGUGCAUGGCUGUCGUCAGCUCGUGUCGUGAGAUGUUGGGUUAAGUCCCGCAACGAGCGCAACCCUUGUUCACUGUUGCCAGCACGUUAUGGUGGGGACUCAGUGGAGACCGCCGGGGUCAACUCGGAGGAAGGUGGGGAUGACGUCAAGUCAUCAUGCCCCUUAUGUCCAGGGCUUCACGCAUGCUACAAUGGCUGGUACAGAGAGUGGCGAGCCUGUGAGGGUGAGCGAAUCUCGGAAAGCCGGUCUCAGUUCGGAUUGGGGUCUGCAACUCGACCUCAUGAAGUCGGAGUCGCUAGUAAUCGCAGAUCAGCAACGCUGCGGUGAAUACGUUUCCCGGGC